UGAAACAACCACAUGAAAUUUUUGGGUGAAGAACAUAAUGUAAUGGAGAUUAGUAUGUUGAGAAGAUGUUUUAUUUUCUCAAAAAGUAUUGCUUUAUCUAUCAUUUUUAACGUGUGAACAUUUGAAGGUUGUUUCUUUCAGGUGGUCCACAAUGGUAAAGUUUGAGACAGGAAUAUUUUACAAGUGUAGUACAUCUUUGACUCUUAAUUUCAUUUCACUUUCUAUUUCUAACUAAUCACACUUCAGUAUCAAUAUUAUAUUACUAUCUUGUUAACCUGUCCCACAUGUUCAGAAAUUUUAAAAUAUAAAUGUUGUGUUCAAAAACAAUCAUUUUAUAUCUCUUAAUUAACAUGUGCCCUUAAUUAAAUAUUAUUCAUGCAAAGAAAACAAACAAAAGCCAUACAUACUUAAAUUAUUAUCAAUUUCACAAACCCAUUUUUUAUUUCGUCAAAAUGUUGUGGAGCAAGUGUUUGUGUUUUGUUAUUAGGGAAUCAAAUCAAUUGCUUAUAUGAAUAUAAACAUGGAGCAAGCUUCAUUUCUUUUUUGGGCUAUUUUGGUGCUUCAUUUGCUGCUUAAAGCUUCUUCCAAUGAAGAAAGUGAUGCCCUGAAUGCAUUGAAGAACAGCUUGAAUAAUCCUCCUAACAAUGUUUUUGACAAUUGGGAUACUACCCUUGUCAAUCCUUGCACGUGGUUUCAUGUUGGAUGCAAUGAUGAUAAAAAAGUGAUCAGCGUGGAUCUUGGAAAUGCAAACCUUUCUGGUACACUGGUUUCACAACUUGGCGAUCUCUCAAAUUUACAUAAAUUGGAACUUUUUAAUAAUAAUAUAACAGGAAAAAUCCCAGAAGAGCUAGGAAAAUUGACAAACUUGGAGAGCUUGGAUCUUUACUUGAACAAUUUAAGUGGUACCAUACCGAAUACAUUGGGAAACCUUCAAAAACUAAAAUUCCUGCGUCUCAAUAAUAACAGCUUGACUGGAGGCAUUCCCAUUUCUUUGGCAAAGGUUACUACGCUGCAAGUUCUUGAUCUCUCAAGCAACAAUCUAGAAGGAGAUGUCCCCAAGAGUGGUUCGUUUUUAUUAUUUACUCCUGCUAGUUAUCUGCAUACUAAAUUGAACACAUCAUUAAUCAUCCCUGCACCACUUUCUCCACCGUCACCAGCUUCUUCAGCUAGCAGUGAUACUGGAGCUAUUGCUGGAGGAGUUGCUGCUGGUGCGGCUCUGCUGUUUGCAGCCCCUGCAAUUGCACUUGUUUUUUGGCAAAAAAGAAAACCACAGGAUCAUUUCUUUGACGUUCCUGCUGAGGAGGAUCCUGAAGUUCACCUUGGUCAGCUUAAAAGGUUUUCGCUGCGUGAGCUGCUAGUAGCAACAGAUAACUUCAGCAACGAAAACAUUCUAGGUAGAGGUGGAUUCGGAAAGGUUUACAAAGGACGCUUAGCUGACGGUACUCUUGUAGCAGUAAAAAGACUUAAAGAGGAACGCGCACAAGGUGGGGAGCUGCAAUUCCAGACAGAAGUGGAAAUAAUCAGCAUGGCUGUGCAUCGUAAUUUGCUUCGGCUUCGUGGUUUUUGCAUGACAUCCACCGAACGUUUGCUCGUGUAUCCUUUAAUGGUUAAUGGAAGUGUAGCAUCAAGUUUACGAGAACGUAAUGACUCUCAGCCGCCGCUUGAGUGGCCAAUGCGGAAGAAUAUUGCGCUGGGAGCUGCCAGGGGGCUUGCUUACUUGCAUGAUCAUUGUGACCCUAAGAUUAUUCAUCGUGAUGUGAAAGCAGCGAAUAUAUUGUUGGAUGAGGAAUUUGAAGCAGUUGUUGGAGAUUUCGGUUUAGCAAAGCUUAUGGCUUACAAAGAUACCCAUGUCACUACUGCUGUUCGAGGUACACUUGGGCAUAUACCCCCUGAGUACCUGUCAACCGGAAAGUCUUCAGAAAAGACUGAUGUUUUUGGAUAUGGCACGAUGCUUCUAGAACUGACAACUGGAAAGAGGGCUUUUGAUCUAGCACGUCUUGCCGGUGAUGAUGAUGUGAUGUUGCAUGACUGGGUUAAAGGACAUCUCAUAGACAAAAAGUUGGAAACACUGGUAGAUGCGGAGUUAAAGGGAAAUUACGAUGAUGAAGAGAUAGAAAAGCUAAUUCAAGUUGCUUUAAUAUGCACACAAGGGUCCCCUAUGGAAAGGCCUAAGAUGUCUGAGGUGGUUAGAAUGCUAGAAGGCGAUGGUUUGGCAGAAAAAUGGGAGCAAUGGCAAAAAGAAGAGACGUACCGACAAGAUUUUAACAACAACCACAUGCAUCACCCUAAUGCAAAUUGGAUAGUAGUAGAUUCAACUUCACAUAUUCAGCCAGAUGAACUCUCAGGUCCUAGAUGAUCCUUUUAACAUUCUAUCAUAUGGACAAGUGAAUAUGUAAUCCUUCCUCUGCCUGAACGAGAUAAACUACAUGAUUUGUGUAUAACUUGCAUAUAACUUUCUAGCAUAUGCUUUUCACCAUCUCUUCUACUUAAUCUUUUCUUUUUAAUCUUCUUGAAAUUAUCAUGUAUGUUCAGGUUACAUGUCCAUUGAUCAGGUUAUGAUUUUUUAAGACAGAAGUUUGCAAGUUUUAUUGCGUAGGGAACAAGCAACCAACACUUUUGUCAUUGUGUGUAUGAGAGAAACUAGUAUAGAACUUUUAUGGAAA